rnacentral:pre_miRNA from 1 species
AAGGAGGUCGAGUGUUAGAGAUAGAGAGAGUGAGUGAGAGACUAACAGUCGAUAUAGAGUGAUGGCGGUGGUGUGAGGCGUAGAACUAAGAGAGUGAUGGCGGUGGUGCGAGACUGUCAGUCUCUCAUUCACUCUCUCUGUCUCUGAUGCUCAAUCUCUU